AAUGAGCUAUUUUUUAGUGGGAAUCAGUUUCUGGAGGUCUAAAUCAGUCUUGGGAGUAGAUUCUUACUCCUCUGUUCUUGGAGACAAAACAAUGUGAUGAGUUUUAGUCAUGUCAUUGCUUCAGACUAAGAAAAUCUGCAGUUGGCAAUGGUGAGAGAACUCUCUCCUCCUUGCAGCAGCAAGCCUUCCUGUCCAGGUUUAAAAGAAGAAAAAGACAGGAAAUACUGGAAGUGGCUUAUUUCUUCAUGCACACCCAUGUCUUUUUGCAAAGUGCAACAGAAUGACCACCACCCCUCCACUCCAAAAUGCGUUCCUGCUUAUUCUAACCCUUUAUACCAAUAACAUUGUCCAAAGCCAGACAAAUUGAAAUAAAA
rnacentral:lncRNA from 10 species